ACGGGAGGCAGCAGUGGGGAAUAUUGGGCAAUGGGGGAAACCCUGACCCAGCAACGCCGCGUGAAGGAAGAAGGCCUUCGGGUUGUAAACUUCUUUUACCAGGGACGAAGAAUGACGGUACCUGGAGAAAAAGCAACGGCUAACUACGUGCCAGCAGCCGCGGUAAUACGUAGGUUGCAAGCGUUGUCCGGAUUUACUGGGUGUAAAGGGCGUGUAGGCGGAGCUGCAAGUCAGAUGUGAAAUCCAUGGGCUCAACCCAUGAACUGCAUUUGAAACUGCCAUUCUUGAGUAUCGGAGAGGCAAGCGGAAUUCCUAGUGUAGCGGUGAAAUGCGUAGAUAUUAGGAGGAACACCAGUGGCGAAGGCGGCUUGCUGGACGAAAACUGACGCUGAGGCGCGAAAGCGUGGGGAGCAAACAGGAUUAGAUACCCUGGUA
rnacentral:rRNA from 1 species